rnacentral:rRNA from 1 species
AUCAUGGCUCAGGACGAACGCUGGCGGCGUGCCUAAUACAUGCAAGUCGAACGCGUCUCCGUUAAUGAUUUUAGGUGCUUGCACUUGAAAGAUUUAACAUUGAGACGAGUGGCGAACUGGUGAGUAACACGUGGGUAACCUGCCCUUGAAGUAGGGGAUAACACUUGGAAACAGGUGCUAAUACCGUAUAACAACCAAAACCACCUGGUUUUGGUUUAAAAGACGGCUUCGGCUGUCACUUUAGGAUGGACCCGCGGCGUAUUAGCUUGUUGGUAAGGUAACGGCCUACCAAGGCGAUGAUACGUAGCCGACCUGAGAGGGUAAUCGGCCACAUUGGGACUGAGACACGGCCCAAACUCCUACGGGAGGCAGCAGUAGGGAAUCUUCCACAAUGGACGAAAGUCUGAUGGAGCAACGCCGCGUGAGUGAUGAAGGGUUUCGGCUCGUAAAACUCUGUUGUUGGAGAAGAACAGGUGUCAGAGUAACUGUUGACAUCUUGACGGUAUCCAACCAGAAAGCCACGGCUAACUACGUGCCAGCAGCCGCGGUAAUACGUAGGUGGCAAGCGUUGUCCGGAUUUAUUGGGCGUAAAGCGAGCGCAGGCGGUUUUUUAGGUCUGAUGUGAAAGCCUUCGGCUUAACCGGAGAAGUGCAUCGGAAACCGGGAGACUUGAGUGCAGAAGAGGACAGUGGAACUCCAUGUGUAGCGGUGAAAUGCGUAGAUAUAUGGAAGAACACCAGUGGCGAAGGCGGCUGUCUGGUCUGUAACUGACGCU